UUAAUUGAACUGUUUGAUAAGGAAUUUAUAUAUAGACAGAAAUUACGAUGUUAUAGCAUAAAAAGUUUAUUUGCACACAGAAAAGUACCGGCGACGUAAUAAAUUAUGGGUUUAAAAAAACACAUGUUGGUAAUAUUACUAUUUGUCACUUUGCUGGCUUACACUCAGGCACUACCAUUGCGGAUUAUACGGGAGGCAGUGCAGAAGGAGUUGAAUGAGGAUGUAUCAGAUAAAUCAUGUCAUGGGUCUUAUUGCCAGGAGAACUACAUCAAGUUACCCUUAUCAGACAUGCGGGACCAAGUCGAAAAGGAUUUGAAUGAAAGUGGACCAAAUAGAUCAUGCCAUGGGUCUUAUUGCCAAAAUAAUUAACAGACGAACGUUUAUUGUGUACCUAUCCUGCUUGUGUAUUACGUUUUUUUAGUAAUAGUAGUAUAAAUUUUGUUAAUUUAAUGAAAAAAAGUAUCGAAAUUGGUAAAAUUUAUUUCAUAUUCACAUCACAGAGAAACAUACAAUGAGAGAAUAAUCUCUGUUAUGAAUGUUACAUUUACUUGAUAUUGGAAAACAUGUACAUUAUUCAUUUGCGAAACCUAGCACUGAAAUAUUAUUAUUAUCUUUAUAAUAAUUACCUUAUAUAAAUUAUUUUAUAACUAA